rnacentral:lncRNA from 1 species
UUGUGUUAGAUAUAUUUAUACUAUUAAUACAAGUCCAAUUGUUUAUAAUUGUCCCUUCAGCAUUCAAAUUGAUGAUUGAAUCUGGUAGCGUUGUGUUUGCGAUGUAGAGAUUGGUUGAUUCUUCGUCAUUACUUGUUACUGAUGUGUAAUUAUAUUCCCACACUGUAUUCUUUAAAUCUUCAGGCAAAACACAACUGGCAUCUG